rnacentral:rRNA from 1 species
CAAUAGCGUAUAUUAAAGUUGUUGCAGUUAGAACGCUCGUAGUCGGAUUUCGGGGCGGGCCGACCGGUCUGCCGAUGGGUAUGCACUGGUCGGCGCGUCCUUCCUUCCGGAGACCGUCCCUACUCUUAACUGAGCGGGGGCGGGAGACGGGACUUUUACUUUGAAAAAAUCAGAGUGUUUCAAGCAGGCAGCUCGCUCUUGCAUGGAUUAGCAUGGGAUAAUGAAUUAGGACUUUGGUGCUAUUUUGUUGGUUUCGAACACCGAAGUAAUGAUGAGAAGGGACAGUCAGGGGCACUCGUAUUCCGCCGAGAGAGGUGAAAUUCUCAGACCAGCGGAAGACGAACCACUGCGAAAGCAUUUGCCAGGGAUGUUUUCACUGA